UGAACUAUGUGAGCUGAAGAGCCUGAGAGUGAGGAUAUAAACCAUGUCAACAAUAGCAGGCGACACCUCUCAGGUCCCCUGUGAUGGACUUAGGGGCCCCCUAAGUGGAGUGUGAGAAGAAGGAACAACUGUGGAGGCUUGAGAAAAUACCAACAAAAGUGAAAAACUCCCAGAACUGUGAUGCUAUCCAUCCUUGGGUCCUCACCAAAGUGGAGCUGAUGCCAGAACCAUGCCCUUGAAGCUGAAGACCUGCUUCUAUGGGUGCCUGUGCCUGGCAGUUAAUGCUCCCAAGAGCAGCCCUCUGACAAGGAAUGAUGGGAACUUCUGGAUAUUGUCUCAGCUUCCUCCACUUGUCAGUUGAACCAUCUGAGAUUUGUGCUGCACUGACUUCCACAAGGCCCUGGUUGUCCACAGUGGCACCUGCCAUGAGCAUGUCUCAUCCUGCCUUUCUUUCCUCUCUGGUUGCCCUACUU